UUGGAGGGCAAGUCUGGUGCCAGCAGCCGCGGUAAUUCCAGCUCCAAUAGCGUAUAUUAAAGUUGUUGCAGUUAAAAAACCCGUAGUUGAAUUUCGGGAUCAAUUUAUUGGUCGUGCCAACGGUACGCACUGGUACAAUUGGUUUCUCCCUUCUGACGAAGCAUGAUGUCAUUAAUUUGAUGUCGUGGGGAAUCAGGACUGUUACUUUGAAAAAAUUAGAGUGUUUAAAGCAGGCUUUGGCUUGAAUACAUUAGCAUGGAAUAAUGAAAUAGGACGUUUGAUCUUAUUUCGUUGGUUUCUAAGAUCGACGUAAUGAUUAAUAGGGAUAGUUGGGGGCAUUAGUAUUCAAUUGUCAGAGGUGAAAUUCUUGGAUUUAUUGAAGACUAACUACUGCGAAAGCAUUUGCCAAGGAUGUUUUCAUUAAUCAAGAACGAAAGUUAGGGGAUCGAAGACGAUCAGAUACCGUCGUAGUCUUAACCAUAAACUAUGCCGACUAGGGAUCGGACGAUGUUAAUUUUUCUUGACUCGUUCGGCGCCUUACGGGAAAC
rnacentral:rRNA from 1 species